GCUCUUGCAUCGAUGAAGAACGUAGCGAAAUGCGAUACUUGGUGUGAAUUGCAGAAUCCCGUGAACCAUCGAGUCUUUGAACGCAAGUUGCGCCCGAAGCCAAUAGGCCGAGGGCACGCCUGCCUGGGUGUUGCAGAUCGUUGCCCCCCGUGCCUUGGCCACGU
rnacentral:rRNA from 1 species